rnacentral:rRNA from 1 species
GAUGAACGCUAGCUACAGGCUUAACACAUGCAAGUCGAGGGGAAACGGCAUUAAGUGCUUGCACUUUUUGGACGUCGACCGGCGCACGGGUGAGUAACGCGUAUCCAACCUUCCCAUGACUAAGGGAUAACCUGCCGAAAGGCAGACUAAUACCUUAUGGUCUUCACUGACGGCAUCAGAUGUGAAGUAAAGAUUUAUCGGUUAUGGAUGGGGAUGCGUCUGAUUAGCUUGUUGGCGGGGUAACGGCCCACCAAGGCAACGAUCAGUAGGGGUUCUGAGAGGAAGGUCCCCCACAUUGGAACUGAGACACGGUCCAAACUCCUACGGGAGGCAGCAGUGAGGAAUAUUGGUCAAUGGGCGAGAGCCUGAACCAGCCAAGUAGCGUGCAGGAUGACGGCCCUAUGGGUUGUAAACUGCUUUUGUAUGGGGAUAAAGUCAAUCACAUGUGAUUGUUUGCAGGUACCAUACGAAUAAGGACCGGCUAAUUCCGUG